rnacentral:rRNA from 1 species
UGGGGAAUAUUGGACAAUGGGCGAAAGCCUGAUCCAGCCAUGCCGCGUGUGUGAAGAAGGUCUUCGGAUUGUAAAGCACUUUAAGUUGGGAGGAAGGGCAGUAAGUUAAUACCUUGCUGUUUUGACGUUACCGACAGAAUAAGCACCGGCUAACUCUGUGCCAGCAGCCGCGGUAAUACAGAGGGUGCAAGCGUUAAUCGGAAUUACUGGGCGUAAAGCGCGCGUAGGUGGUUUGUUAAGUUGGAUGUGAAAGCCCCGGGCUCGACCUGGGAACUGCAUCCAAAACUGGCAAGCUAGAGUACGGUAGAGGGUGGUGGAAUUUCCUGUGUAGCGGUGAAAUGCGUAGAUAUAGGAAGGAACACCAGUGGCGAAGGCGACCACCUGGACUGAUACUGACACUGAGGUGCGAAAGCGUGGGGAGCAAACA